AAAAAAUACCAAAAAAA
rnacentral:sRNA from 1 species